UGGGGGAUAUUGCACAAUGGGCGAAAGCCUGAUGCAGCGACGCCGCGUGGGGGAUGAAGGCCUUCGGGUUGUAAACUUCUUUUGCUCUGAACAAGGCAUGCCUUUGGGGUGUGUUGAGUGUAGGGGUUGAUUAGCGCCGGCUAACUACGUGCCAGCAGCCGCGGUAAUACGUAGGGCGCGAGCGUUGUCCGGAAUUAUUGGGCGUAAAGGGCUUGUAGGUGGCUGGUUGCGUCUGUCGUGAAAGCUCAUGGCUUAACUGUGGGUUUGCGGUGGGUACGGGCUGGCUUGAGUGCAGUAGGGGAGGCUGGAAUUCCUGGUGUAGCGGUGGAAUGCGCAGAUAUCAGGAGGAAUACCGGUGGUGAAGGCGGGUCUCUGGGCUGUUACUGACGCUGAGGAGCGAAAGCGUGGGGAGCGAACAGG
rnacentral:rRNA from 1 species